AUACGGAGGAUCCAAGCGUUAUCCGGGAUCAUUGGGUUUAAAGGGUCCGUAGGCGGGUUUGUAAGUCAGUGGUGAAAGUUUUCGGCUCAACCGGAAAAUUGCCAUUGAUACUGCAAGUCUUGAAUCAUUAUGAAGUGGUUAGAAUGUGUAGUGUAGCGGUGAAAUGCAUAGAUAUUACACAGAAUACCGAUUGCGAAGGCAGAUCACUAAUAAUGUAUUGACGCUAAGGGACGAAAGCGUGGGUAGCGAACAGGAUUAGAAACCCGAGUAGUCC
rnacentral:rRNA from 1 species